GGGCGGCUUACCUGGCAGUCGAGCGAAGCAUUAAGAGGAAGUUUUCGGAUGGAAUGUUAAUUGACUGAGCGGCGGACGGGUGAGUAACGCGUGGGUAACCUGCCUCAUACAGGGGGAUAACAGUUAGAAAUGACUGCUAAUACCGCAUAAGCACACAGAACCGCAUGGUUCGGGGUGAAAAGCCGAGACGGUAUGAGAUGGACCCGCGUCUGAUUAGCUAGUUGGAGGGGUAACGGCCCACCAAGGCAACGAUCAGUAGCCGACCUGAGAGGGUGACCGGCCACAUUGGGACUGAGACACGGCCCAAACUCCUACGGGAGGCAGCAGUGGGGGAUAUUGCACAAUGGGGGAAACCCUGAUGCAGCGACGCCGCGUGAGUGAAGAAGUAUUUCGGUAUGUAAAGCUCUAUCAGCAGGGAAGAAAAAAGACGGUACCUGACUAAGAAGCCCCGGCUAACUACGUGCCAGCAGCCGCGGUAAUACGUAGGGGGCAAGCGUUAUCCGGAUUUACUGGGUGUAAAGGGAGCGUAGACGGCAAUACAAGUCGGAAGUGAAAUACCCGGGCUCAACCUGGGAACUGCUUUGGAAACUGUAUGGCUGGAGUGCUGGAGAGGUAAGCGGAAUUCCUAGUGUAGCGGUGAAAUGCGUAGAUAUUAGGAGGAACACCAGUGGCGAAGGCGGCUUACUGGACAGUAACUGACGUUGAGGCUCGAAAGCGUGGGGAGCAAACAGGAUUAGAUACCCUGGUAGU
rnacentral:rRNA from 1 species